CUUCGCAUCCUCGAGGAUCACCGCGUACAUCGUCGCAUAGCAGCGAUCCGGCACCAUGGCGAUGCAGUCCUGCAGCUCGUCAUCCUUGUUCCACAUCCUGCCGCCGUCGCGAACGACGUUUGGCAUCGAUGCGUCGACGAUGACGUUGUUGGGAACGUGCAGG
rnacentral:rRNA from 1 species